rnacentral:lncRNA from 1 species
GGGAAUUCUGGGAAACACCAAGGACUUCUGGGGAUUGAAGUCUGGGGUUCAAAAUCUCCAUUUAUACAUAGGACAUGAGUCAACAUGAUUGGCAAUGGCCUGUGAUGCAGUACUUGGUAUCUUCCAUGUCUAACCUAGCUCUAAGUGCUCUACAGGGCAUGCUUCAGCCAUCAUCUUGGCUGUUGGUACACAUUGGUUUCAUCUCUCUAUUCCAGUAGGGGGGCCUUCACACCUGGCCAUUUUAGGUACUUCUGGACUGGGCCAUUCUGCCAGAUGGGAUGGUCACAAAACCUGGCAUGGACUCCUGCUUUUGGACCUCUUAUGACUUGCCAUUCUGACCUUUCAAAGCUUACUGGUCAUCUGUGAGGGCCACCACUGGUAUGAAGACUUACUAAGCCCUUUUCAGGGCUGCUCAUCUACAUUUGGUAUCCACCUUUCACUCAACUCUCACCUGUGGCACCAGGAAGCCAUAGCAUACAGAGCAGCCACACCCAGCCAGGAAAGGCUCCUGGAUUCUGGGCAGACCUGGGCUGUGAAUUUUCUAUCAUCAAGAGCAGAAAAGAGGAAAAACAGAAUAAAAAUUCUUGGAGAUAACUUCUGAAAUAAUUAAAAGACCAGCUGGUUGAAAAAGAUUUGCCUGAAAUUCCAAGCCUGAAUGGAGCAGGGAGCUAACUUGAAGGAUGCUAUGGCUUUCUUCACUUUGAUAAGAACACCCAAACCACCAAACAACCUUAAAGGUCUAACAAACAGGAUACUGGAAGGAAUAUCACACCUGAGCAUUGAGGAUCUUUGCAAUUGAGAGACGAUCUUUUUGGUUAAGGGAAGUCCUCCAAGCUCUGCACAUACUUCUUUCAUCUUUUCUUUUCCUAAGAUUCACCUCAUAACCUUAAAACAUAGCCCCUUCUGAAGAUGUCUGAUGGGAGGAGAGAAUCCCCCAUACCCUCAAAAAUCUAGCAAUCUGAAACCACAGACAAAAGGGAGAUAUUUGUGUGGGGAAAAGCACAAGAACAAGAGAGACAGACCAUGUGGCCAGGACAAGGAAGUUAUACAGCUAGUCUUUGGUUUUAUGAUCUAUCCUAAGAGUUCACACCUGCCUAAUUAAAACAAAACAAAUACAAGGAGUCUACACUUUGCUGAAGAAUUUACACCUUGUCAUAUAUAUUUACUAUUUAUCCUUAGGUUGAAAAUUCUUUAAAUGUAAGAACUUUGAGAGAGGUGUGUUUACUUACUUUCCAGAAUCACAAAAUGGCUGAGGAAUUUCUUUGUCCAAUUUAUGCCUAGAGAAGAAGCCCAACACUACUCUCCCUUCCAAGAGUUCCUCUAGACUAACCCCAGUGAGGGAGAACCCAAAGUCUACUAAUUUCCAACUCUAAUUCCGGUAUUCUAAUUGAUCCCCUUACAUCCAUUUUCUUUAUACUACAAUUCAUUCUCCAUUUGGUUUCCAAAGUAAUUUUUCUAAACCAUAGCUCUGAACAUAUAUUCCCAUACCUAUUAAAUAAAUUCGAGAAAAGACAAGAUUUAAUAUGAAAG